rnacentral:rRNA from 1 species
GCGAGUCAUUGUAGUAAUACAAGGCAGACGGCUCAGUAACGCGUACUCACCUAACCUAUGGACGGGAAUAACCUCGGGAAACUGACCAUAAUGCCCGAUAGAACAUUAUACCUGGAAUGGUUUAUGUUCCAAAUGAUUUAUCGCCGUAGGAUGGGACUGCGCCCUAUCAGUUUGUUGGUGAGGUAAUGGCCCACCAAGACUAUUACAGGUACGGGCUCUGAGAGGAGUAGCCCGGAGAUGGGUACUGAGACACGGACCCAGGCCCUAUGGGGCGCAGCAGGCGAGAAAACUUUGCAAUGUGCGAAAGCACGACAAGGUUAAUCCGAGUGGUUUCUGCUAAAGGAACCUUUUGUCGGUCCUAGAAACACCGAUGAAUAAGGGGUGGGCAAGUUCUGGUGUCAGCCGCCGCGGUAAAACCAGCACCUCAAGUGGUCAGGAUGAUUAUUGGGCCUAAAGCAUCCGUAGCCGGCUCUGUUAGUUUUCGGUUAAAUCUGUACGCUCAACGUACAGGCUGCCGGGAAUACUGCAGAGCUAGGGAGUGGGAGAGGUAGACGGUACUCGGUAGGAAGGGGUAAAAUCCUUUGAUCUAUUGAUGACCACCUGUGGCGAAGGCGGUCUACCAGAACACGUCCGA